rnacentral:rRNA from 1 species
AACGAACGCUGGCGGCAUGCCUAACACAUGCAAGUCGAACGAGACCUUCGGGUCUAGUGGCGCACGGGUGCGUAACGCGUGGGAACCUGCCCUUAGGUUCGGAAUAACUCCCCGAAAGGGGUGCUAAUAACGGAUAAUGUCUUCGGACCAAAGAUUUAUCGCCUUUGGAUGGGCCCGCGUUGGAUUAGCUAGUUGUUAGGGUAAAAGCCUGCCAAGGCGACGAUCCAUAGCUGGUCUGAGAGGAUGAACAGCCACACUGGGACUGAGACAUGGCCCAGACGGCUACGAGAGGCAGCAGUGAGGGAUAUAGGAGAGUGGGCGAAAGCCUGAGCCAGCGAGGCCGCGUGAGUGAUGGAGGCGUUAGGGUUGUAAAGCGCUAUGGCCCAGGAUGAUAAUGACGGUACCGGGAGAAUAAGCUCCGGCUAACUCCGUG